ACUGGGAUUAGAUACCCCACUAUGCUAAGCCAUAAACACUUCUUUUACCUCGCCAGAGAACAACGAGCAAAAGCUUAAAACCCAAAGGACUUGGCGGCACUCUAUAUCACACUAGAGGGGCCUGUCACAAAAUCGACAACCCACGAUAAACCCUACCACCUCUAGCCAUCUUCAGCCUAUAUACCGCCGUCGUCAGCCUAUCUUGAAAAGAAAAAUAAUAAGCCCAAUUGCUACACACAAAAACGACAGGUCAAGGUGUAGCCAAUGAGGUGGUGCUGAUGGACCACAUUGUUUAACUUAAGCAAGACCAAAACUAUUUAAAUAUCUACUAAAGGUGAAUUUAGUAGUAAGAUAAACAAGAAAGUUUACCUAAAACUUGCUCUGGAGUGCGCACACACCGCCCGUCACCC
rnacentral:rRNA from 1 species